AGCGAACGCUGGCGGCAGGCCUAACACAUGCAAGUCGAACGAACUCUUCGGAGUUAGUGGCGGACGGGUGAGUAACACGUGGAACGUGCCUUUUGGUUCGGAAUAACUCAGGGAAACUUGUGCUAAUACCGAAUGUGCCCUUCGGGGGAAAGAUUUAUCGCCAUUAGAGCGGCCCGCGUCUGAUUAGCUAGUUGGUGAGGUAACGGCUCACCAAGGCGACGAUCAGUAGCUGGUCUGAGAGGAUGACCAGCCACACUGGGACUGAGACACGGCCCAGACUCCUACGGGAGGCAGCAGUGGGGAAUCUUGCGCAAUGGGCGAAAGCCUGACGCAGCCAUGCCGCGUGAAUGAUGAAGGUCUUAGGAUUGUAAAAUUCUUUCACCGGGGACGAUAAUGACGGUACCCGGAGAAGAAGCCCCGGCUAACUUCGUG
rnacentral:rRNA from 1 species